CCAUGUCAAUGACUGCCAGCAACCAGACCAUGUCCCAAGCAUAUUUCCAAAGUGUCGGCAAAUAACAGAGAACCUAGUAGAGGUCCCUGUCCCACACUGUUCGAGGUGACGACCGUCUGUGCAGUGCUUUGACUGGGCUCAGUUGAGCUAAAUUGUACUCCAACUACAUGACGUGGACUCCAGUGAAUUAUCUAACUGCUUGUAGUCCUGCUGGCAGCAUCACCUUCUUGUGUCAAGCCUGGGGAGGCAGGGAGUGAGAUGUGAAGAUAGCGAGGGAAUCUGGCUUCAUUUCACUCUGCCACCACCAUCGUGGGGACCAGAUUUUGGCUGAUCGGGGCUUUACCUCAUCGAUCCCUCAUGGAGAAAUUCCAUUUUUUAACAUGGGGAUCUAUAAUGGACUUUUUAAACUGAGCUCAAUCAGUGUUCUCCAAUCUCUGCCUGCAUACAGGAAGCUUAAAAAACAAAGAAAACACAGCGACCCCUGCUGGCAGGGAGGGAGCAGAGCACUACACAGGCAGACAUGUAAACCUCCUUCUCCCUGUACAUAUUUGCCUGAAGUCUGUUAAACAUCAGGUAUGUGAAGAGUUUUCCAGGAGGGACAGAAAUAGAACGGCACGUUACAUUCUUCUUGGUGAUCUGGGCCAUUUUAUUUUGCAUCCAUGUAAACAGAGAUCCAGUCGUUGAGGAAACAGUAAUGGAUGAGUAUGUUGCUGCAUGUACACCAAUUAGGCAUAACAUUAUGACCACCUCUGUGGAUGAGGCCUGUUCCAGUGCA